rnacentral:rRNA from 1 species
AUUGAACGCUGGCGGCAUGCCUAACACAUGCAAGUCGAACGGUAGCAUGACUUAGCUUGCUAAGUUGAUGACGAGUGGCGAACGGGUGAGUAACGCGUAGGAAUAUGCCUUAAAGUGGGGGACAACUUGGGGAAACUCAAGCUAAUACCGCAUAAUGUCUAAGGACAAAAGCUGGGGACCAUCGGGCCUGGGGUUGUAAGAUUAGCGUGCGUACGAUUAGCUAGUUGGAGGGGGAAGGGCCUACCAAGGCGACGAUCGUUAGCUGGUAUGAGAGGAUGGCCAGCCACACUGGAACUGAGACACGGUCCAGACUCCUACGGGAGGCAGCAGUGGGGAAUAUUGGACAAUGGGGGCAACCCUGAUCCAGCAAUGCCGCGUGUGUGAAGAAGGCCUGAGGGUUGUAAAGCACUUUCAGUGGGGAGGAGGAUUGAUAGGUUAAGAGCUGAUUGAUUGGACGUUACCCACAGAAGAAGCACCGGCUAACUCCGUGCCAGCCGCCGCCGUAA